rnacentral:rRNA from 1 species
UACGUAGGGGGCAAGCGUUGUCCGGAUUCAUUGGGCGUAAAGAGCUCGUAGGCGGCCACUCAAGUCGAAUGUGAAACCUCGAGGCUUAACCUCGAGCCUGCAUUUGAUACUGGGCGGCUAGAGUCUGGUAGGGGGAUCUGGAAUUCCUGGUGUAGCGGUGGAAUGCGCAGAUAUCAGGAGGAACACCGGUGGCGAAGGCGGGAUCCUGGGCCAGUACUGACGCUGAGGAGCGAAAGCGUGGGGAGCAAACGGG